UGGGGAAUAUUGCACAAUGGGCGCAAGCCUGAUGCAGCCAUGCCGCGUGUGUGAAGAAGGCCUUCGGGUUGUAAAGCACUUUCAGCGGGGAGGAAGGCGAUAAGGUUAAUAACCUCAUCGAUUGACGUUACCCGCAGAAGAAGCACCGGCUAACUCCGUGCCAGCAGCCGCGGUAAUACGGAGGGUGCAAGCGUUAAUCGGAAUUACUGGGCGUAAAGCGCACGCAGGCGGUCUGUCAAGUCGGAUGUGAAAUCCCCGGGCUCAACCUGGGAACUGCAUUCGAAACUGGCAGGCUAGAGUCUGGUAGAGGGGGGUAGAAUUCCAGGUGUAGCGGUGAAAUGCGUAGAGAUCUGGAGGAAUACCGGUGGCGAAGGCGGCCCCCUGGACAAAGACUGACGCUCAGGUGCGAAAGCGUGGGGAGCAAACAGG
rnacentral:rRNA from 1 species